rnacentral:rRNA from 1 species
UACGUAGGGGGCAAGCGUUAAUCGGAAUUACUGGGCGUAAAGCGUGCGCAGGCGGUUAUGUAAGACAGUUGUGAAAUCCCCGGGCUCAACCUGGGAACUGCAUCUGUGACUGCAUAGCUAGAGUACGGUAGAGGGGGGAUGGAAUUCCGCGUGUAGCAGUGAAAUGCGUAGAUAUGCGGAGGAACACCGAUGGCGAAGGCAAUCCCCUGGACCUGUACUGACGCUCAUGCACGAAAAGCGUGGGGGAGCAAACAGG